AUGAGGACUGAUAGAAGGACACU
rnacentral:piRNA from 1 species